CAGCACGCGCGCCCUGGCCGGCAGCAUCUUCAGCUACAAGAUGUCGGACACGCUGUCGCAGCUGUCGGCAGCCGAGCACGGCGGUCGCUCCGUGUCACCUGGCUCCAGCUUCUCCGGCGACGAGACGGCGGCGCUGGCGGCCGGCCGUCGCUACGGCCGACGCGCCACGCUCGAUAGACAGGGCAGUGCCGGUGACGACUCGGUCUCCACGCGCAGCGGAGCCCGCGCCGACGACGAGCUGUCGGUGCGCUGGAUCGACGAGGAG